AACCGAGUCUUAAUUGGGCGUUAAGUUGCAGGGUAUAGACCCGAAACCCGGUGAUCUAGCCAUGGGCAGGUUGAAGGUUGGGUAACACUAACUGGAGGACCGAACCGACUAAUGUUGAAAAAUUAGCGGAUGACCUGUGGCUGGGGGUGAAAGGCCAAUCAAACCGGGAGAUAGCUGGUUCUCCCCGAAAGCUAUUUAGGUAGCGCCUCGUGAACUCAUCUCCGGGGGUAGAGCACUGUUUCGGCUAGGGGGCCAUCCCGGCUUACCAACCCGAUGCAAACUGCGAAUACCGGAGAAUGUUAUCACGGGAGACACACGGCGGGUGCUAACGUCCGUCGUGAAGAGGGAAACAACCCAGACCGCCAGCUAAGGUCCCAAAGUCAUGGUUAAGUGGGAAACGAUGUGGGAAGGCCCAGACAGCCAGGAUGUUGGCUUAGAAGCAGCCAUCAUUUAAAGAAAGCGUAAUAGCUCACUGGUCGAGUCGGCCUGCGCGGAAGAUGUAACGGGGCUAAACCAUGCACCGAAGCUGCGGCAGCGAACGUAUCACCCAAGACAACUUUGCGGAGUUGACGAUUGACGGAGCGAAGCGACGUCAAAGCGUUCAUUAAAGUCGAGUUGGCUUAGGGAUACGUUCGUUGGGUAGGGGAGCGUUCUGUAAGCCAGUGAAGGUGUGUCGUGAGGCAUGCUGGAGGUAUCAGAAGUGCGAAUGCUGACAUAAGUAACGAUAAAGCGGGUGAAAAGCCCGCUCGCCGGAAGACCAAGGGUUCCUGUCCAACGUUAAUCGGGGCAGGGUGAGUCGACCCCUAAGGCGAGGCCGAAAGGCGUAGUCGAUGGGAAACGGGUUAAUAUUCCCGUACUUGGUGUUACUGCGAAGGGGGGACGGAGAAGGCUAUGUUGGCCGGGCGACGGUUGUCCCGGUUUAAGCGUGUAGGUGUGUGUUCCAGGUAAAUCCGGUUCACUUUAACACUGAGGCGUGAUGA
rnacentral:rRNA from 1 species